CGUUUUUCUUUCAAAAUGAAAUAAUUGUCACUACUCCUACCCAAGGUAGAUUCGCUUUGUUGAUCCGAAAGAUCCAUUGUGGGUGGGGGGGUCCUUUGAAGGAAGGAAAGGCCCUUCGGAACCACAGCCGGUAAUGUGGAUGGCGCACUCGACCAAAUUUCUCCGUCCGAUCAGACAAUCUAUUACUGUGAUAACCUCGUCUUAUCCACCAAUCUUUCAUUCCAGAAAAUCCUAUUAUGCCAAAUUUGAACCUUUAAAGACGUUGAUAAAGGCCCUUGAACCUGUUCUUCGCAACCGCGUGUCAGCAUUUGAGCGUCAAUUAAUCCCAUGGAGAAAAUAUUUCUGUUUUUCAGGAUGCCUUCUGGAUUACUUGGAGGAAUUGUGGCUACAAGGUGAUUUCGACUUCCUAGCUUCCUCUUUAAAUUCGAAACAUGGACUACUGGAUGGACUUGAGCUUCAGACGGCAGCUCCAAUUUGUAAGCAACAGUGCCAAUUUUUUCCAGAAUUUGGUAGGGCCCGUAGAACCUUGGGGAUAACUUCAGAUUGCGCCUCUGUAUUACCGAAUGCUGUUUGUAGGGCUGGAGACGAAGGUUCCCCUUCAAAAUCCGUAUUAUCUGGUCUCGGGACUUCAUAUUUUCUUCCACCGCUUGCACAGAAGUUGACCCAUAAGUAAAAGGGAGCAACCUUGGAGGGCAUAAGCUAAGUAUCGGAUGCAUACUUGCUGUGUCGGUUGUAAUGGAGUCUAGAAGCUUUCAGCCUCUUGUUGUUUAUGCUAUGGAUGGUGAGUAGAACAUAUCAACCAGUAUUAUGGGCUAUAUGUUCCAUUUUUAAGAUGCUUUGGAUGAGGAAGAAGAUCCGUGGACCUUCUGGAUGUUUGCCCAGAAAUUCUGGCUACCUGGUUUUUUAUUUCUUACUGUGUUGACAAACUUGGAUCAUCCUAUUGCACUCAUUGCAAUCAAAAUUAUUUUGUUACUCCUAAGCACAAAUCCUUGUCCUCUCUCAGUCUAUGUUUUUGUUGGUCAGGUAAGUAUUCCAUUUCACCUUGUUGUACUCAUGACUUAAGAGAGGGUCCAAUAAAAAAGCUUUCUAAACUCUUGUAUAGAACUCACGAACUAGGGUAUCAAGAGGCAAUCCAUCCCCUAGUGUUUGACUAGUGAGCUGAAGAAAUACGUGGAUUCUCGACAGAUGAAUAAAUUUUUUAAUUUUGUUGAACAUAAUGGGAACAAUCAAUUUUCAUCAAUAUGCGGUUAUCUCAUAGGAUAUAUAUUUUCAUUAUUGUUGAUAAUUUCUUGUGUAAAAUCCUUGCUAUUAUGAUUUUGUCCUCCCUGGUAUCGUCUUGACUAUUUCAGUGGCUGAUAUGAUUCUACAUACUUGGAGUAGAUCAAUGGUCUAUUAAAUUGGGGUAGCUGCUUUGAAUUUAAGUGGAAACCAAGGCUUUGUUGAGUGAGUUAUGUCAUCAAUCUAUGCGCAAAGAGCCUCACUUGUACAGAAAAAAGUUUACUUGGGCUUGCAAGUACACAUGCUUAUUGAGGGAAGUUGGUUCUACCAAUACUUAUGUCAAAGGGCAUCACUCCACCCAUUGGAUGCCCAUUCCAUGAUUUUAGAAACUUGUUAAAAAUUAGUUUCCCCUCCCCACGAUUUUUAACUUUUUAUUUAUUUUUUAUUUUUGUAUUUCUCCCAUCUUAUAAUUCCUGGUUCUGCUGCCCUUGCUUAUAAGGAAAGAAUGGAGAAGAAACAGGAUAAAGACUAGAACAUGAUGUGUUUUCCUAAUUCUCUCUUUCAAACGCUUAUCAGGCUGCAGUUUCUCAUAGCCACGUGUAUUUCAUAGCUAAAUUUGGACUGCCUAUAUAUCAUCUGUGACAAUUGAUCCAUGAUCUGAUUAUGUGCCUAUGUUUCCAUGGAAAUUAUUCAAUGACUUCUUCGAA